GACGAACGCUGGCGGCGUGCCUAAUACAUGCAAGUAGAACGCUGAGGACUGGUGCUUGCACUGGUCUAAGGAGUUGCGAACGGGUGAGUAACACGUAAGGAAUCUACCUAUAAGCGGGGGAUAACAUUCGGAAACGGAUGCUAAUACCGCAUAACAUUUACUUCCGCAUGGAAGUAAAUUGAAAGACGGCUCUGCUGUCACUUAUAGAUGACCUUGCGGUGCAUUAGUUAGUUGGUGGGGUAAUGGCCUACCAAGACGAUGAUGCAUAGCCGACCUGAGAGGGUGAUCGGCCACAUGGGGACUGAGACACGGCCCAA
rnacentral:rRNA from 1 species